rnacentral:rRNA from 1 species
UACGUAGGGUGCAAGCGUUGUCCGGAAUUAUUGGGCGUAAAGAGCUCGUAGGCGGUUUGUCGCGUCUGCUGUGAAAAUCCAGGGCUUAACCCUGGACCUGCAGUGGGUACGGGCAGACUAGAGUGCGGUAGGGGAGAUCGGAAUUCCUGGUGUAGCGGUGAAAUGCGCAGAUAUCUGGAGGAACACCGGUGGCGAAAGCGCGAGACUGGGCCGUAACUGACGCUGAGGAACGAAAGCCAGGGUAGCCAAAAGGG